rnacentral:rRNA from 1 species
AACGAACGCUGGCGGCGUGCCUAACACAUGCAGGUCGAACGGGAAAGCCCGCAAGGGUGAGUACAGUGGCGCACGGGUGCGUAACACGUGGGUAAUCUGCCCAGAAGCCCGGAAUAACUCCCCGAAAGGGGUGCUAAUGCCGGAUGAGACCACGGGAACUUCGGUUCCUGGGGGAAAAGGUGGCCUCUGUAUACAAGCUAUCACUUCUGGAUGAGCCCGCGGCCCAUCAGCUAGUUGGCGGGGUAAUGGCCCACCAAGGCUACGACGGGUAGCUGGUCUGAGAGGACGAUCAGCCACACUGGAACUGAGACACGGUCCAGACUCCUACGGGAGGCAGCAGUGGGGAAUCUUGCGCAAUGGGCGAAAGCCUGACGCAGCAACGCCGCGUGUGUGAUGAAGGUCUUCGGAUCGUAAAGCACUGUCGGGAGGGACGAAUAAGGGCCGGGUGAACAAUCCGGUCCGACGACGGUACCUCCAGAGGAAGCACCGGCUAACUCUGUGCCAGCCGCCGCCGUAACAC